GGAGCGAUGCGGGAGCGGCCGAACCGGCACGCCUGGAGAGCGUGUAGGGGUUACACCCCUCGUGGGUUCAAAUCCCACUCCCUCCG
rnacentral:tRNA from 1 species